rnacentral:rRNA from 1 species
AGAAUCAACGCUGGCGGCGUGCCUCAGACAUGCAAGUCGUACGAUUAAAGCUCUCUUCGGAGAGUGCAUAAAGUGGCGUACGGGUGAGUAACACGUAAGUAAUCUACCUUUGAGUGGGGAAUAACAGUCGGAAACGACUGCUAAUACCGCAUAAUGCAGCGGCUCGACAUCGAGACAGUUGUUAAAGAAUUUAUUCGCUUAAAGAGGAGCUUGCGGCAGAUUAGCUAGUUGGUAAGGUAAUGGCUUACCAAGGCAACGAUCUGUAGCCGACCUGAGAGGGUGGUCGGUCACACUGACACUGAAUAACGGGUCAGACUCCUACGGGAGGCAGCAGUCGGGAAUUUUGGGCAAUGGGCGAAAGCCUGACCCAGCAACGCCGCGUGAAGGAUGAAGUAUUUCGGUAUGUAAACUUCGUAAGAAUGGGAAGAAUAAAUGACGGUACCAUUUGAAGGUCCGGACUAACUACGUGCCAGCAGCCGC